rnacentral:rRNA from 1 species
GAUCCUGGCUCAGGAUGAACGCUAGCUACAGGCUUAACACAUGCAAGUCGAGGGGCAGCAUGAACUUAGCUUGCUAAGUUUGAUGGCGACCGGCGCACGGGUGAGUAACGCGUAUCCAACCUGCCCUUUACUCGGGGGAUAGCCUUCUGAAAGGAAGUUUAAUACCCGAUGAAUUCGUUUAGUCGCAUGGCUUGAUGAAUAAAGAUUAAUUGGUAAAGGAUGGGGGAUGCGUCCCAUUAGCUUG